GUAUAAUUAGUUUAUCUUAAAACAUUUAGUUGCAAGCUAAAAAACACAUUUUUGUAUUAUGUU
rnacentral:tRNA from 1 species